GGAAGGAAAGCGCUUAAUCGAGGGGGGCGCUUAUUGAGUUUUCCUUUUAACGAACUGUAACUUUAAUUUGGAAAAAUCUUUAAAAGAAAAACAACAAAAAAGUUAUCCACCUGGACGUCAAGUCAUUAUGGCGAUAGAAAUGACUGGAGGUGAUUAAACGGAAAAGUAGCUAUUCUUCUUUACGCCAAAAUAUUUUAUCUUUACGCGGGAAUCAAACGGUGAAAAUGGAAGAUUUGUACCUCCGGAUGCUGCAAGACGAUCAGUACCCAGGAUACUCAGAAUAAAACUGUUAUGGCCCCCAAAUUUACGUUUAAGCUUAAUCCCAGUUCCAAGUACUGCUCAAUUUGUUUAUCCAUGACAUAAACACUUUUUCAGUGCGCCCGCGAUUGAAAAAUUGAAAAUUUGGCGGAGACAAAUUUUGCAGAGAUUUUUGGUGGAGCAAGACAAAUUUUGUCGGCUCAGUGCGCCGGGGUCCUAUGACAAAUAUGUUAUCUGUUAUUUUAUAAGGAAUAUGGAAUAAUCUGAUUGGUUCCUGGAGUGACAGUGGCUUGUCAUGGACCGGAAGUGUUCCUACAAACGAAGCUCAAUUUCAUUAUGGUCCAGUGAGACUGUGGAUCACACCUUUGAACUCUGAUAAGUAUGCCGUGUUCAAGUGUUAAAUAACAAAGCCUGUGGACAUGUCUUUAAGUACAAGCAAGGGAGCGUGCGAACACGAAAGAAUUUGUGUCAUACGAGGCUCACUCAUUAAAGAGAUUUCGUACCUUGUGGUUGGAAAUCUGGCUUGAUGCUUCUCUGGUUCAAAGAUUAAAUGAAUGUAACCGAGAA